UGCCCCAUGGCUGAGUUGGUCACAGCGUCCGACUGUUAUGCAAACUACCAUCGGAAGGUCGUGAGUUCGAGCCUCACUGGGGCAG